UUUACAGAUUUGCCAUUUACUGGAUUCCUUGUGAAUAACCAAGGAUAUUCUUUGCAAGUUCAGACAUGAUACAAGCACACAUGCACAGGAAAACCAAAGUCCACCGGUUACUUUUUGAUCCUUUCCAUUUUUUGUCCUUUCUGAAGAAGCUGGAAUCCGUGUGAGUCUCAGACUUUAUCCAGAAAUGAGUUCAUACACUGUGAGAGGACUCUUCACAAUCCUCAGCUCCUGAAUGUCUGAUGCUUCACAGCAUUUCUUGCAUAAUUCAUAUUAAAAGCAGAGUUACCAGCAGGGCAGUCAAGUGAGAAGCAUAUAAUGGCCUGUGAUCAUCAGACACAGCUUCCAGGGAACGGAAGCCAUAGGUUCAGCUUCUUGUAGUAGUAGCCAGAGGGAGCUGUUUGGAGACUUCUCCCAGGAGCUGACUUAGCGUAUCCUUCUUUUUGCCACACAGGACACCAAAGGGCACCCCUUCUGUCCCGUCUUCCAAAGGUAUACAGCAGCAAAUAGCAGCAAGUUUCGGUCAGCAUGUUGGCUGUUUGACAUGAGUAGCCAUGGUCUGAGAGUCAGCAGCAAGAAAUAGAUUAUGCCAGAGCAAAUCUCUCCUUGUGUCCCAGAAGCCCAAGCCAUCCUUCAACAGUUGCUGCUGAAGGCUACCCUUUACUUAAAGGAUAGCAUGAGAAGCACAUAUUGCACAGCAAAACCUAUGUUCAUCCUUUUAUGUCUCCCCACCCCUUAAAGAACAUACAAUAUAUAUUCAGCGUACCAUCAACCCACUGCUGUAGGUGGAGCCCUGUGAGCAUAACACAGUUGACCAUGGAUACAAAGGCCAGCAAAUAAAUGAUUCUAUAAGCGUCAGACAUUUCAGUCCAGGACAUUAGAGAUUCAUUGACUACAUUGCGGGAAGAGCUGUUAAAUAAAACCAAUUUCAGUAGUCUCAGCCUUCCAGAGUCACUUUGAGUACCAUGUAUAUCAGAGACUCAUCUAGCAUCUUGAAAAAUAGCUUUUUCUUUAAUUGGUUAUAAUGUCCCUGUAUAUCAAAUACAGUUGCCAGAGCAUUGGGUGAAUGACAAAAAAGAGUAAAAACAGCUUACAGAAGUGACAUGUUCUUUUAUGGUUACAUCUGGGGGUACACGAGAGAGUCUCCUGACAUGCCAGUAACCUUAUUCACAGUCUGGAAAGUUCCACAGAGGAAGAAUGUAUACUAUUAAGUACAGCAGCCCUGUAAACCAGGAGACAUCAAUUAUUGCUUUGCAAAUGAUGUGCUGCGCUUCCUCGGGCAAAUCACUUUUAGGUGCUUUUUCCCCUCAUAUUCCCUCCAUCUACCUUGUAUAAAUCAGCCUCCAUCUCUUCUGAGCAGGGGAAAGUCUCCUUCCAUGGUCUAAGGACACUGACUGUGCAAAUUCAGAAUGAGCCUGUAAGUUCCACCUUACAUGCAUAACAAAUAAUUACAAACCAUAGCAUCUUACCCCACUGCAUUACUUGUCUGGGUAGUCCAUGGAGUCAAUAUGCACCAUAACUAAACUCACCAUUUGGAAGCGGGGGAAGCUCCGAUCUUCAGCGCCAAGAGC
rnacentral:lncRNA from 1 species